rnacentral:lncRNA from 1 species
CUCCUAAAUGAAAUUUCAAAAAGAAAACAUACCUUAAUAACAAAACAAGGCAAUAAAUGAAUCAGGAAAAAAGGAAACUUAUUAUCUACCCUAGUCAAUUCAAGCGGCUGGACUCCAUAAAGUUUUAUCAACUUUUCAUUUCAGAAGUUCUGUCCAUUCUGACGAUAGCGUUUUCCCUUGAAAAAUCUUUACUUGCUAUCUGUUUUUGAAUCAUUUCCUCUCAAAUGCAUCUUCAAUCUGCGCUUCUUGACCAUCUCCUUUCCUAAUCGAAUGCAUGGCGGUUCAACUAUUCUCUCGUCAGGUAUGAGUUCUCACCUCUUUUUAAAGUAUCCUUUUCAAAUUUUAUGGGCUAGCGUAUUUCCUGAUUUGUGGAUAUGCUAGAAAUUAAUUUCUUGGAAACAAGAUUUCUUACUCUGGAUAUCUUUGAUAAUUGCUUCAAUAACUGAUUUGUCUGUUGAUGAUGUUUGGUAUUUUUUGAUGAUUGUUCUUGAAUCCCCUAUUAUUUUUACUGAGUGUAUACCCAUUAAGAUCCCUAACUUAAUGGCUUCUAAACCUGCAUAUGCUUUUGUUGCAAACAGAGAUGAGACAAUGUGAAGGGUCAUCUUUGAAGCCAAAAGUUCACCCAUCAACUCUGAACCACCAAACCUGAUGCUGAUUUGGAGUUUCUUUUGUCGAACAUUGCAUGAAAUUGAAUCGUCAUCCUUGGUAGUCCUCCUGAUGCUUGUGGUUUUUGUUCAUAUUUAAGGAAGUCUUCUUUGCUAUCACUCCUUCAAGUUCUUCCAUAUGCUUUUGUAUUCUUUGUAGUAGGUCUUGACAUGACUACGCCCCGAGGCUCAACAAGCUCUAAGCUUGAUCCCAUCAAGUUACCCAAAGGACCCAUAACUCGAGCUCGGGCUAAGCACCUUUAAAAAGCUGUUUCAGCUUUGUUUGCUCAACUUUGGAAUGACAAUGAGCUCUGAACUAAAGGGAUAGAUCGGGCCAGCUUAAUACAAGCUCCAUGCACCAUAGUGCAAGCUGUUUUCAACUCAACUCUAGCUUGCCGAGCUUUAUCUAGCUCAAUUUAGCUCACUUGAGCUUAAUUCAGCUCGUUGAGCUAGAUUUAGUUUUUCUCCAGCUUACUUCUUUUAUUAUUUUAAUAAACUAAGUAUUAGUUUUAUUUUAAUUCAAAUUGGCACAGCUCAUAUCUGAAUUCCCUAGCUCAAAUUAGCUCAUUAAAUUGUUUUUACAUAUUUGAGCUAGCCAAAUUUAAUGUGCCCAGAUUUCUAUAUGUUUUUAAUUUGUCUAAGCUACAUCCAUAUUUAUGUUGUGUCUAAAAUUAUUACUUUUGUUUAAUAUGUCCUAGUUAUUACUUGUUAAUGUGUCCUAGCUGAAUGCAUGAUUUUAAUGUGUUCCUAAGCUACCGAAUUUAUGUUGUCCUAAGUUGAUUUAAUUUGAUAAAUUAAUGCGUCUUAAACUAAUUAAUUCUGUUGAUUUAUUAGGUUGAGCCAUGUACAAUGGACGGGAUGAAUAAGGUGUGCUGAUGGUUUAUCUUUUCCAAGCAACCCUUCGUGUAUGCCAAAGCCCAAGGGAGCUGAUGUUUCUUUUCUUCCAAGUUGCUGAUUUAUUUUCCCAAGCUGACCGAUCAGCUCUCUAAAGAAACUAUGAAAGCUUUCACACUUGCUGGAAAAUUCCAUUCACCCUUCAAGGCUGUUUAGUUUUGUGUUUUCGCACACACAAGAGGCGGUUUGAAUUCUGUUCACACUUCUCAUGCCUUUUGCAAUCUCCAAGCUCCUUAUUAAGUUCCAAGACUACUCAGCUGAUCAAGGCAGCUCCAUUAAAGCUUUCACACCCCCUUGGCUGAAUCUAACCAAGACCCUCUAACUUACCAUUCACUUCCAUUAAUGUUCAACUGAUUAGAGGCAUCUAGAAGCAUCUUUUGACGUUCUCCUAGCACAAAAAACUUUAAGGAAACUUUUUAAAGAAUUCUGGAAUUUUCAGCUAACCAUUUAGCUACCUUAAGAACCUAUUCAGCUAUCCCUUGUAAUACCUAUAAAUAGUUUGCUUAUUUCAGCUUGUAAGGAACUUUUGACAUUUUGUUUAACGAAACUUUGUUUCUGUGAUGUUUACUUCCUCUCAACUUUCGUACGAGUCUCGAACGACUUAUCUAGCUUGCUAGUGGUGGCGUCAACCGAACUUGUUUUUAGAACUUAUCACCAUCACUUGGUGUGGCGUUCUCUUAUCCAACUACCAAUCACAUUUCCCACCUUAAACGAUAUAGGAAUCGGGGUGAGACUCAUCAUAGUGUUGAAUCGCUUUUGAAGUUUAAGUUCGUUUUCCAUUUCCGCUUUCUUUCUUUAUCUAACUUAUUAUCCUAAACCGAGCCAUCCAAAUAGAUUCUAUCCUUGUUUCUCUCUAGCCGAACCUAUCAUCAUCUACUUAGCCAACUUUGAACCCCAUUUUAUUCACUUUCAACCUCAUAAGCCAAAUUCCAACAACUCGAUAAUUUUAUGAACGACCCUUUUCAUCGACGAUUGGGCAACUUACGUAGACUCGACUCAUUCAACCGAGCUGAAUCACGUCAUUUGGUGUCAGAGCUUGUAAAUCAAGAAGCACCGACGUUCGUAUCAAUUCCGUAGUAGGUUUGUUAUUAAAAAAAAUAUUCAAUCAAGUUGUGCUCAAGUUCUCUAUUGUAUUUAGCAAUAUAUUUGAAUUUUAAAAAAAAUUCGAGUAUAAAAAAAAGGUGAAGUGUUGGAAAAUUUUGUUUUAUUCAUUUACUUGUAAUCCCGAUCAUCUAGUGUCGUUCUAUCAUCAAUUACCCCCACAAUGCCACACUAAACUGGAAUUUUCUUUGUUUCAGCCUACCUUGCAUCCUUAUAAUAUAUCCCUUGUAACCACUUUGAAAUCGACCCCAAAGUAGCAAAUAAGUCUAAAUGAGACGAAAUACGAAACAACGAGAGGGAGUUUGAAUGGUAAAAGGCAAAGAGUGUGUGAUAGCAUUCGAGAGUGUCGAAAAAGCUUUAAAAUGAGUGCAAACAUGAGCGCGAGUGCCAAUCAUUAAUUUUUCUUUUCGAGUGAAAUAGUAAGGUUUUCUGGUAAGGAUCUUAAAAUUUUUUUGUCAAUAGGCAUGGAACGAAGAAUGAAGGAGAACAAGGCCGAAACCACAUCUCACAAGGAGGAGGAAUCGAUACUCAUGUGUGCUAGUAAGCUACUCGUUGUCAAAAGAAGUCUAAGUAUUCAAAGUUUAGAAAACGAGCAGCAAUGGGAAAACAUCUUCCAGUCCCAAUGUUAAGUUCAAGGAAAGCUUUGUAGCUUGAUUAUCGAUGGUGGAAGCUGUACCAACGUCGUAAGUACCCUCAUGGUGGAGAGAUUAGGCCUAACGACCAUCAAACAUCUGAUAAAGAGAGAAAUGAAGUAAAAUAAAAUAGCUACUGAUAAAGAGAGCAAAAACUAAACAAAUUCAGCACUAAGUGCCUAUGACCGAUUUUGGCACAAAGAGAACCCCACUUUCGACAAACAACUACCAAUCCCCUACUCCUUCAUCCACUCCUCAAAUCUCUCCCCAAACCUCUCAUUUGACCAAUUCAAAUUCCUUUCAAACUCCUCCUGAAAUUCGCCACACACUCCCCUACUCCUCAAACACUCCAACUGCCCAUUAGCUCAGAGUUCUACUAGCAUUCAACUUCCGACACGGAACAACAACAAAAUUAAACACUCCUUGUGCAACACAGGACUUGAACUCAAUACCUCUAGCUGUAAUGACACGCCACUUACCCCUUGGGUAGUAGGCCCUUUCUCUCAUUCUCUACUCACAUUAAUUUAAAAGUCUACUAACUAAAAGCAAGGGUUAACUUCCUAAAAACAAAGUUUUUGUGGAAGCCCGAGCUUGAACCCAAACCUCUCAGGCGCUUCCUAGGACACUUAACAAUUGAGACAAGCAUACAUUUGAGCUACGUAACAUAUAGAAAAUACGUACCUAUAUUUUGGGGCAUUACAUGAAAUGAGAAAAAUUUAUGUAAAAGUAUGUUUCAUGCCAGAAUAUGUUUAUUUGGCUAUAAUGAGGUAUAAAUUGAAUGAUAUGUGAGAUAUGAGUUAUAGUUGUUUUUAACUAAACAUUUAUAUGGCACUUAGUGUGUGAAAUACCGUUAUUUGAUGAUAUUUCUCAUACAUCACUUGGCUAAAAAAAAUGAUGAAUAUUGAAUUGAAUAAAGCUUAUAUAUAUAAUUGGUUAUGCAUAUGAAGAUGUGAAUGAAUUGAUAAAAAGUAUUCAAACCAUACAUGUUUUUGAAUGAAUAAACUCAUGAAAAUCUUGAUUAACUAUGUGCAAGAAUUCAAGAUAGAAUGAUGAAAUCAUAUAAAUUAUAUCAUGUUUUGAAUAAUUGUUUUAAAUGCAGUUUUUAAUAAUAUGAGUUUAUUACCAUAUGAUCUUACUAAUCUUAAUAGCUUACUUGUUUUUUCUAUUCUAUGUUUAUAGAAUUUCGGAGGCUUGCUCGGAUUGGAAGUCGCUGGAGAUUUCAUCACACUAUCUAGCUAUGGUUUGGUACUUAUGAGCUUUGUGAUUUUGGUUAUAUGGCAUGUAUAGGCUUGAGUCUUUUUGAUAAAGAUUUUUGAUGAUGUAUUUGGCUAUUUUAUAUGGCUUAUUAAUGACCUAUGUUUGAUGUGUAAUUUGCCUUGUGUAGUGGCAUAAUUUGGUAUGGUUGGUGAUGGUUGAAGUUGAUCAUUUGGUCAUUUGGUAUAUGAUGAGUAUUUACUUAUAAAAAGCAUGAUUUUAGACUUGAUAAGUGAAUGGCUAAUAGAUGAUUUAUGAGUCAAACUUUGUAUGUGAUUGAUGGUGGUAAAAGUACAUAUUGAAAUAAGUUGUAUUGAUGAGUAUGAUAUGUAUUUUAGUAUAUGAUUGAAUAGGUGAGUAAUGAGGAAUGAAUCAUGCUAGUUUGGUAUGUGUUUGAAUGUACAAAUAGUAUUGACUUGAGUUGAUGAAAUGGAUAGAAUUGGUAUUAUAAGUUUGGUGCAUGAAAUAGCAUGGUUUGGCUGCUUAUUAAUGUAUUGAAAUGGCAUGAAAUGUUGUAUUUUAGGCAUACUUGAGAAGGGUGAGAAAUGUGGCUUCAACCAAGCCUACUUUCACUCCACACGGCCGAGCACACGGGUGUGUGGCUUGACUUUGUGUGUCACAUGGCCUUGGUACACGGCCGUGUGUCCCCUGGGGUAGCCCUUCGAUUUAAGUCAAUAUACCCUAUAGGUUUGGCACAGCGUAGACACACGGGCAUGUCUACUGGUCGUGUGAGACACACGGGCUGGCACAUGGGCGUGUGGACGGCCGUGUGACCCAAGUCAGUAACCCCUCCAGAUUUCCCAUGGCCAAGGCACACAUACGUGUCUCCGACCGUAUGGUACAAGUCAGUAUGUAUGUCCUGUUUUCACACAGCCUGUGACACGAGCGUGUCUGGUGGCCGUGUGAGGUAUACGGCCUAUUCACACGGGCGUGUGACCCCUGUAUGUAUAAAAUUUUUCUAAGUUUCCCAAAGUUUUCAAAUGUUACCGGUUUAGUCCCGAACCUCUUUUAAGCAUGUUUGAAGGCCUCAUAGAGCCAUAAAAGGGACAAUGUGAUUUUGUUGGAUAGGUUUUAUAUAUGAAUACAAUAAUGCAUAUGUUAUGUAUGUGAAUGAUAUGUAUUGAUCUGUAAUGCCUCGUAACUCUAUUUCGGCAACGGAUAUAGGUUAGGAGUGUUUCGCACAAUUCUUUUCAAUAACUUAUUCGAUUACAUCACAAGUCUUGUUCAACUCUUAAUCUUGAGCAUAUCAACACCUUAUCUCAGUUUUACUUAUUAUAGAUCUAACUGAAUUAUUCCAUGUCUUAUGAUAUUGACAGAUAUUCAUAUCUUAUAAUGUUGGGUCACCGAGCUACCCCGUGGUGCAACAAAAAAUUAUUUCGGUGAUCCAAACCAGGAAUCCAUGCACGAAGAAUGAAUUAGGAACAAAAGUUUUGAAAAAUAUACCUUUCAUACUUUGGAAAUAGAAAGGAACCAUUGCUGUUUUAAUCCCUUUCGCACACUGCCAAUCUAAAGCUGCAACAAAUGGUCUCAGUCUCUAUGUAGUCCACCCUGUUGCAAAUGAACGAGCAAAAACUCUCAUUGAAUGUUUCAAAGAGUUUUUCUAAAAAGAAAUGUGGCUGCUAGAGCUAGGUUCUUUUUCUUUUGUGGUUAAUGUUGGUAAACACUUUUUUGCACCCUAGGGUUUUAUUUUAUGAUUCCUUUCCUUUUAUUUAAUAUUCCCUAGAAAAACAAAAAUGGAAUCCCAUUUUUGGUGCUAGAAUAUAUAUACAUGAAAAUAUCACAUUGUAAUAUCCUUUCAAAAGGAUAUUAAUUUCCAUAUAUAUAUUAUGUUUGACCAAAAUUAAAUUAUUCUAAUACUUUAUUUUAAUAAUUUCGGUAAAUAGAUCAUAAUUAAUAUUUUAUAUGAAUCAAAUUCAUACGUUUAUUUAAUUAUGUUCUCUAUUCUUGUACAAUGAAUCUGUACAUAUAUUGUGUUUAUUAUUUAACUGUCAAAUUAAAUUAAUUCAAUAAUUAAUAUAAUUCUUGUGACAGUUAAAUUUAAUACUAUCUAUGUUUAGUUUCUGUUCACUUCAACCAUAGGGGGUGAUCUUCUAGGCUCUUGUAACAUUGGUAGUAAUACUAGAACACUUCUAACGUUACAAGCAAUGAGUGGCAUUGUAACAGAUCGUUUUUACUGAUAUUGAAACAAUGGUUUUAAGACCACAAUUUUGACGAUUAAAUUAUUGUAUUAUUAUUAUGUUAAUGUUUACAUGAUCUUAUUCAGGUAGUAGUAAAAUUUUGUUAAGAAAUUUUGAUGUUUAAUUAGUUAAUUAAGUAAAAAGGACUAAAUUGUAAAAAGGUUAAAAGCCAAGUUCUAUUAGUUAAAAGGGUCAAAUGGCCAUGAAAUUUUAAACUAAUGGACUUGAAUGGAAAUUUAUGGAUUUUGAUUUGGUUAGUGGAUGUUUAUGGAUUUGGUUUAAGUGAAAUUUAGAUAAAAUUUUAAGGUUGAAAUGGUAAAUAGGUAAUUAAAAUGAAAUUCAGUAAAGAAAAAUAGAAACAAAGGUUGUCAUCUUCCUAUUUUCUUUUUGUAAUGCCCCAAAAUCGGCCUAGAAGUUUAGGCCGAAUUUCAAUGGUCACAUUGAUCACCGAAGUGAUCAUGGUAAAUUUUAGUUUAACCAACCGAAAAAAAAUUAUAGUAUUUAAGUUUCGUAAAGACGUUCAGAUAUAAAAUCCCUGUAUUACAAAAACCUCAGUCCAAAUAACGCUUACAUGUAUUUAAUACAAAAAUUCACACCAUAGUUUUCAAAAUAGUACUUAAACUAAUUAUUUAAAAUACAUAACUCUGAGACCUUCGGCGUGCCAAGUCCAACAUCAAAAUUCAUAAAUGUACCUGAAAGGGGAAACAUUAAAGGGGUGAGCUACAUGAGCUCAGUGUGAGUUCAAAACGUAUCUAACAACAAAGUCACAGAUCAAGAAACCAAAUAGUAGUUCGAUAACGAGACGUACUUAAAGAGAUAUACAAAACAUAUAGCAAACCUCAAACUGACGUCUCAAACAAUCGUAACAGUCAAAGCACACGAAAACCACACACACAGAAUACUUAAUAGACAAGCCCGUCAAUGGGUCGAUACAAAAAUACUUAUCGCCAUAAUCCAAAAUGUCACUACGCUAACACCUCAAUGCAUGCAGAAUAAGUAAAAACUAUUAUAACGAACAUAUUAUAGACAAGUAGCUCACAUAUUGAUGCGUAUGAACGCAAUCAAGUACUAAAAACCCACUUAUCCAACCAAAACACUUCUCCGUCCCUUAAUCACACCCCAAAAGAAAUGUUUAAGCUCAUCCAGAAAAACACACCUUAUAGGACCUCGAAAGGCCCAUCCAACCCUACACAACAUGUAUGUGGUUUAAGCCAUUCAGAUUAAAAUACACAGCAAAGUUGAGGUAUAUGCAGUAUAGUGCAGUAAAUCGUUGUACCGAUAUGUUGUAGUUUAAAUUGUUAGAUCAGAUCAAUUUAGUCUUUCUUCUCUUCACAACCAAACCCAAAAUCAUGAUGCAAUGCAAUAAUGCACACCAAACACGAACAGUCACACAGACACAAAAGGUCAUAAAUAGUCAGUCAGAUACAGAAUUUUGUUUGAUUGUAAAAAUACACACUCUUUGAAUUAGACACGCAAAAUCAGAGUACAGAAUCAAAAUGCCCUCACACACACAAACUCAAUGUCAAACUUCUUCACAGUUAUUGGACACGGUUUCAUUUCACGGAACACAUUACAAACAUGAACUAUGAAAUCAAAAAUUUAGCACCACGCUUACAGUUAAUCACAUGACCCUAAGUCAUAUCUGAGUCCUUUAUACUUAUACAGAGGCCUCAACAACUGUUGGAAGACAUAAGAAACAAAAUCGAUAAGUUAUACUACAGAAUAAAAAUUUACGAAACAGGGCCACAUGGCUGUGUGCUCCGACUGUGUGGAAGUGCCUAGGCCAUGGGGGGUCAAAACGCCUAUGUGACCUAGAGACAUGGUUGAUUGAUUCGACCAUGUUACUCUUUGUCUGAUUGUGCUAAAAUAGGGUACAGGGCAGACAGGACCGAGAAAGGGUCUCACAUGCCCGUGUGCACACUAAACACUACUGUGUGUCCAAAACACACGCCCAUGUGGGAUCCCUAAAUCCCUAAUUUGGCCAUAUAGCCGUGUGGCCAGGCCUUGUGGCAUCAAAUAACAUAACUCUAACUAUCAAACAGACACACCCGUGUGAGGAAGGGACACGACCGUAUGGAAGUUGACAAAAAUCCCCAAAUCAGCCACAUGGCCGUGUCGCACCCAAAUUAGCCUGGAAACCCUAAAUCCCAAUUAAACACGGCCGUAUGAACCACCCGUGUGGCUACCUGUGUGGCCACGAAACCACACUAAAAUUGACUAAAAGUCUCAUUUUCUGAUCACUAAAAUGAUGUCUAAUAAAAGUAUUUUAGAACCCAUCCAUAACCCACCAACUUUUAGAUAAUUGCAAACAGCAAAAACCUCAAAAGCUCAAUUAACCAGACACACCUAAUGAGAUUGACAACUUUUCACAGCAAAAUUGUACCAAAUUACACUGAAUUGAAUUAAAAAAACAUAAAAGAAAGUGAAAAGUUUAGAAUCCCACACCUGAUUUGCAAUAAAGACGCAUAGAAAUCAAUUGACACACGUUGACGACCUCAAUAUGAACUUGAAGCUUUUCGAAACCAAAAAUAAAAUCGUUCUCUACUUUAAAACAAAACCGUUCUUUACUUUUUCUUUUCAAAAGACGUAAGAAAAGCCAAAAAGAAAAAAAGACAAAGAAGAAAGCUAAGAUGGAAAAAAAGUGAUGGAGAACGUGAAAAAUAAAAUAAAUAUUAAAAUAAAUAUUAAGAAAAAUAAAUAAUUAUUUUGUUAUUUAAACAAAUCUAAUAGUUACAAAUAAAAAAAAUACCUCCCCAAAUUGUACACAUGAGGAAUCAAACCUAGAACCCAAAGAUAUACUAACACUCAACCAACCACCAGGUCAGUAAGCCCAUUUUGACACUAAAGCGCGAGCAUUAUCCUAAAUGCACGACCUAGUCACUAACCUUUACUUAGAAUCUGAAACUUCUAACCGCAAAUAAUUAGGGUGUUACACUUUCUUCUUGGCCAAAACUUCCAUUACUGAAGUGGAGAGAGCUUCAUUUUGAAUUCUUCCUUGCAUGGUACAAAUUUGUGUCCCAUUUUUAGUGAUUUUUAUGUUUUUAAAAUCAUUUUAGCUUAGUCUACCUAGCCUAGGGGUUAAUUUGUAAAAUUGUUAAAAGUAGAGGGACUUGCCAUGAAUGUUUUGAAUGAGUUUUGAUGUUAGUUGAUAGAUUAUGAAUCCUUGUUGAAAAAUAAAUAAGUUUGGUUAAGUGAUUUUUGAUAAAUUUUGGAAUUAGGGACUAAUUUGUUAAAGGUAUUAAUUAUAAGGUUUUAUAGUGGAAUGAUGGUAAAAAUAAGUUGUUUCAAAGACCCUUGCAUGUUUGAUUAACAUGGAUUUAGAUUAAAAUGGUUAUAUUUUAAGUUAUGAGCUUAAGGAUUAAAUUGUAAAAAUUAUAAAUGUUAAGGAUAAUUUUCAUAAUUUUACAUAAAAAUGAAUUUUGGAUUAAAUUGAAGUUUAGAGGUACUUAAUUGAAUAAAACUAUUAUUUUAGAUCAAAAAUGUGUUGAUGAUCUUGGAAAAGAAAAGAUUUUGAAGUAGUUCCUGUGCUUUGCAAAUACUGCAAACUAGUCUUGUAAGUUCGUUUUAUGUUUAAGUAUAGUUGAAUUAAACUCCUUGUUAGUGAUUUAAUCUUUAAGUUCUGUCAUGUAAUGAUGUUUAAAUGUUGAAUCAUAAUGUUAUUCAGGCUUUGUGCCUAGCAGGCUUUGUGCUUAGCAAGCUUAGUUCCAGUGUUAUUCAAGCUUUGUGCCUAACAGGCUUAGUGUCAAUGUUAUUCAGGAUUAGUGACAGUGUUAUUCAAGCUUUGUGCCUAGCAGGCUUAGUGUCGAUGUUAUUUAGGCUUAGUGCCUUGCAGGCUUAUUGCUGGUGUAAUAAAUGUUAAAAUCCUUUAAAAUUUUGGUAUUUGAUAGUAAAUGAGUUUACUUAUCGAACUUACUAAGCGUCAUCGUGCUUAUUCAUUUGAUUUGAUCUUGUAAGACUCUUGGAAUCGUUGCUUUGAUUGGAUUGGCUUAGAAGCUUACACACUAUCAUCUUCAUCUUGGUAGUCAUUUUGUUCUUGUUUGAAGUUGGUUAAAGUGGCAUGUAAUAGGAGAAGUCUUUAGUAUAAUGAUGUUUUGGUGAAUAUGUAAAUGGUAAAGUUUGGUAUGUUUAUGUUUUGAUGUUAAUGAAUGAUAAAUAGACUUAUAAUGCUUGUUUAGGUAAGUCUUUUUGGGACACUUUUGAUAAUACAUGUAUAUAGCAUUUUGGUACUAAAUGUUUGCUUGAAAUGGUCAAUUAUGAUGUGUUUUAGGCUUAAUAUAAAAUGGGGUCUUUAUGCAUGGAUUGUGGUAUUGUUAACAUGUUUAGGUAGGUGUUGUUUCUAUGUGUUUGAGGUGCCUUUGAAUGGCAUAUUGGUUAGUUGUAUUAGGACCUUAAAAGGGAAUUUCAGUGUAUGUUUUGGUAAUAUUGAGAUGCUUAAAUAUGUUAAAAGGUCAUGCAUGAUGACGACUUGAAAACGGCCUGAUUUUAGGUAAAAUUGGGUCUACACGACCUGAGUCAAGGGCAUGUGACUCAGCCUGUGAGACACACGAUUUGGUGACAUGGCCGUGUGUCAUCUAUUGAUUUCUUAGGAUGCAAGUCAGUGAGUUACACGACCUAACACACUACCUGACACACAAGCGUGUGGGGCAACUCAGUAGUUACAUAGCCUAACACACGGGCUUGUGACACGGCCAAGUUACCCUACUCAGAGAGUUACAUAGGUGAGGACAUUGGCUAGGACACGACCGUGUGUCCCUAGUUUGAAGGUUACAUGGCUUGAGACACGAGCGUGUGUCUCAGUCGUGUAAGGCACACAGCCGUGUGACCCUUAUUUUGCAAAUUUAGCAUCUUUGCCCUAAAUUUUCUAAAAGCUUUCAAAUGGAUCCCAAUUUGUUUCUAAGUUAUUUUUAGGUCCCCGAAGGCUCGAUUUAUGGAUUGUAUACAUGUAUGUGAAUGGCUUAAAUAGUGGUUAAGUUAUUGAAUGAUUUUAAAGUUUAAAAUUUUUCGUGCUAUCUAACCUUAAUCCAGCGAUGGAUACGGGUUAGGAGUGUUACAUGCAUUUAGCAAUGCAUCAUCGCUACCCAAGUUACAAGAAGUUGUGGUUCAACAUAACAUUUCUAUGAUAAAUUUUCAUAUAUUAUAUCAUUUUGUCCUUUAUAUCUCGAUUGUACACAAGUCAAGGAAUAGUCACACUUGCGAAGUCCAAUCUCAUUUUCUUGAUACCUGAAGUAGACUACAAUAAACAAAUAAGUGUAAUAUCUCAUAUUAACUUAUUUGAGCAGGGCCAUGCAUUUCUGGUUUCACUUCAUCAAGUUGGCUAAGAUAUUGCUUCCAUUAUGUAGGAGAGACAAAUCCUAUCUUGAUCAAUCAUAUCCCACUACAUAGAUUGUGGCAACCCAACACCAGUCUUUAUAGUACAGCCUGUUAUAGUAGACGUUUGACUGAAUCAAAAUAUACGACUCACUAUGUUGGGACAAUAAUGAUCUCAAGUCUAAUGAUAGUAUACAUAGUUAUCAGUAUGAGUAAUGUUGUGACUAUUACAUAAUAAUAUAAGAAACAUACUCAUAGUGGGUCAAUCUAAUAUGUCGUUCUCUAACAUAUACUCAUGUAUUGAUUUUGACAUCCCUAUGUCAAUGACAACACUUUGUUAUCAAUCAACUACAUGUUAGGCUUAAUGCAUUAUUGUUGUCUAAACCCAUAAUAAUACUCGACUAAGGACCUUUUAAGAAUAAUCAUAUUAUUCUUAGGACAUUAUUAUAAAACAAUUUAUUUAUAUACACAGAAAAGAAACAAAAAUAAUGAUGGCAAUGCCUUAUAUUAAUAAACUAGGUAAAAUAAGACCUCAUGGUUGAUCUUUGGGCAUAAUCUAACAUAUAGAACAUACUUGAUAGAUCAUGCUACAAAGUCCAAACAGAGCACACCAUAAAGGUAUCAUACAGAAUCUCGUGUUUACUAUCUUGAUGGACUUCACAAAAGAUUUCAUAGGUCUAUACCUCAUGGUCUUAUAUAGAGUUUUAUGUAUUGUGAGCUUCCAUUUCGAUUUACACAUUAUUGAUGGCUACACCAUGAAAUUUUAGACAAACAUUUCAUUCAUGCCAUGGGUCUUAACCACAUGGUCUUGCACAUGCAUUCAUGUAUCGUGAUCUUCCUUUCUAGUCUCAACUUACUAGAGGCUACGCCAUGAAUGGUUCCAAUUAAUACCAAGCUACCAGGGGUCUAUACCUCAAGUUCUUAUGCCCAUUUUUGAUGUAUGAUAUCUAAGUCUGGUUAGCAAUAUAACUGCCUUACCAGAGGCUUCACAAUGGAGCAUUUCUCAUUUCUUACUUACACAGAUGUGAUCAUAUUCUAGACUAACAUUCUUUUCAUAUCGCAACUAUACCUCCAUUCUUUCCAAUCAGUAUUCUUCUCAAUAGAACUUUACUCAUAUCAUCAUACUCUUACUUUGACUUUAUUGUGAUUAUACAUUUACCAAUUUCUAUAGAUAUCAUUAACCUUUAUAUAUAAAUACUUUUAAUUGGAGAAUUACAAAAGAGAGUAAGGGUAGAGACUCACUUGAUUCUCACCUAUUGCAGUUCUAAGCUCUAGACUCAAAUAUCCCUCUUGAACCAGUAGCAACCACCUGAGAUGGAAUAACUACUCACUGUUAAAGAACCAUAGCUUUAAGAUUAUCGACGAAGAGAUGCAUUUAUAUUUAAGGAAGGAAUCAAUGAAUACCACUUAAAGAUAAAUAAGAGGAAGAAGAAAAACCUCUUUCAGAACCCAUCAUACUCAUAUAUAUUACCCCACCUACUUAGUGGAUCUUUACAAGUGUCACAAAUUUCAAAAUUUGCUUCCUUUAUGGUCUACAAUUUUCAAGAGAAAUAUAAAUAAGUACCUUAGCUUCACAAUUAUUAGGCUAGGCUGUCUAGUUGAUUUCUAAACAUAUUACUUAUAGUCUAUCUAGCACAGUAUUCCUGAUAACCAAGGUGUAUAAUACCUUUGGCGUUAACCCACGCCAUACUUGUCCUUUAUCACUUAACACAAAUUUCUCCUUAAUAUAGUAGAGUACCAUGAAAUGAAAUCUCUACUUACGUAUGUGGAGGGUAUUAUGCGCCCAUACGUAUACGCCAUAAUAGAAAUUUGGGUGGAUUACACUUUGCCAGAUAGACUAUGUUACUCCCUGUAACACCCCUCACCCAUAUUCAAUGCCGAAAUAGGGUUACAGAGUAUUACCGGACUUAUUAAACAAUUUAACAUUCACUAAGCAUACAUUUUCACAUAUCAUACAAUUAUCAUUCAAUUUCAAACGAUAUGUCCCUAAUACGUGCCUACGAGGCCCAAAACAUACAUUGGAAAUGGUUCAGGACUAAAUUGAUAACUUUGAAAACUUUUUGAACACUUAAGAGAUUUUCUCAUAAACAAGGGACACACGGCCUUGUGUCUCACACGGCCAAAGACACGUCCGUGUCACAGGCCGUGUGGACAUUUGAAAUGGGAUCACAUGGUCGUGUCCCAACUCGUGUCUGACCCCGUGUAACUCUCUGACUUGGGUCACACAGCCAACACACACGCCCAUGUGGCUAGCCCAUGUGCCCUAAAAAUGGUCAUACACACCCGUGUGCCAGGCCGUGUGCUAGGCUGUGCCAAACCUGUAGGGUAUACUGACUUAUGCUAAACGGCCAAGUCACACGCUCGUGUGUGAGGUCGUGUAGAGCAUACUGACUUGAUUUUAAUUCAGCUAUUAUCAAACCAUCAUCAGAUAAAGCCAUAUGUGUAUUUAUUGCACGUAAAGCAAAUAGUAAUUUUCGGCUUAGAGCAUCAGCAACAACAUUAGCCUUUCCUGGAUGGUAAUCAAUCACAAGCUCGUAGUCUUUUAACAACUCUAACCGUCGACUCUGUCUCAAAUUCAAAUCUUUUUGAGUCAUCAAAUAUUUCAAACUUUUUUGAUUAGAAUAAACAUGCCAUUUCUCACCAAACAGAUAGUGACGCCAUAUAUUCAAUGCAAACACAAUAGCUACCAAUUCUAGGUCGUGUGUUGGAUAGUUCUUUUCAUGCGGUUUUAACUGUCUUGAGGCAUAAGCUAUGACUUUGACUUCCUACAUUAAUACACAACCCAAACCAUUUAAAGAUGCAUCACUAUAGAUAACAAAUUCUUUACCCGAUUCUGGUUAAACUAGUAUUGGAGCUUCGGUUAAAAGGGCUUUCAAUUGAUCAAACCUUUUCUGGCACUUUUCUGACCACUUGAACUUAACAUCUUUUUGUAAUAGCUUCAUCAUUGGGGUUGCAAUCAUAGAGAAACCUUUCACAAACCAUCUAUAGUAACUAGCAAGUCCUAGAAAACUUCAGACUUCAGAAACAUUUCUCGGAGGUUUCCAAUCAAGUAUAGCUGAAAUUUUACUCGGAUCAAUUCAAAUACCCGAUACUUAUACAACAUGUCCCAAAAAAUUGACUUCACGUAACCAAAACUCACAUUUACUGAACUUUGCAUACAACUGUUUAUCACACAAAGUCUGUAACACAAGUCUCAAAUGUUUGGCAUGCUCUAUUUUAUCACGUGAAUAGGUUAAUAUGUCAUCUAUGAACACAACGACAAACUAAUCCAAAUACUGUCUGAAAAUCUGGUUCAUCAAAUCCAUGAAAACAACAGGUGCAUUAGUAAGUCCAAAAGGCAUAACUAGAAACUCAUAAUGUUCGUACCUCGUUCGGAAGGUAGUCUUUGGCACAUCGGAAUCUUUAACUCGCAACUGAUAGUAACCUGAUCUCAAACCUAUCUUUCAAAACACUGUAGUCCCUUUCAGCUGAUCGAACAGGUCGUCAAUCCGUGGAAAUAAAUAUUUCUUCUUUAUAGUCACCUUAUUAAGCUAUCUAUAAUCGAUACACAUUCUCAUAGUUCCGUCUUUCUUUUUCACAAAUAAAAUUGGUGCACCCCAGAGAGAGAAACUCGAUCGCGUAAAACCUCUAUCUAUCAAUUCUUGCAACUGAGCUUUCAAUUCUUUUAAUUAUGUAAGUGCCAUUUUGUACGGAGCUAUCGAUAUCAAAGUUAUCCCUGGCAAAAACUCAAUACCAAACUCUACUUCUCAAAUAGGUGGCAAACUCGACAAAUCUUCAGGAAACACAUCUAGAUACUCGCACACAACUGGUACUGAUUCAAUCUUUCUUUUAGCCACUUUACUAUCAAAGCACAUACGCAAAGUAAGCUUCACAACCCUUUCUCACAUACUUUUGUGCUAACAUCAAAGAUAUCACUACCGGUAAACCAUUCAGAUCAUUAGAUUCAAUAUGAAUAAUCUCAUCAUUCUGGCACUGUAAAUCAAUAGUCUUUUUUUUGCAAUUUACGACAGCAUCAUGCAAAGUCAACCAGUCCAUACCCAAAAUUAUAUCGAACUCGUCAAAUGGACACAACUUCAAAUCAGGCAGAAAACACAAAUCUUGAAUCAUCAAAGGACAAUUCUUACACACUUUUUCAACUAGAACACAAACCGCCCCAAGGGGUUUGAUACUCUAAUCACAAACUUAAUAGACUCAACAGGCAAAGUCUUACUGAAUACUAAGGUCUCACACACAUAAGAAUGAGUCGAACCUGGCAAUCAAUGCAAUUACACUAGUAUCAUAGAGAGUGAAUGUACGAGUAAUAACAUCUAAGGAUAAAGCCUCCUCGCGUGCGCGAAUAGCAUAAGCUCUGGCAGGUGCGCGAGCCUCAGAUCGAACUAUUAUGUCUUUAGUUCCUCUUUGACUGCUACUCACAUUACCCUUAUUUCUAGGCGGUCUACCUUGAGCUGACAUGUUACUCUGUCUCACAUUCUGUACUGUGUUUUGUUCAGCUAACUCAGGGCAUUCACGAACGAAAUGAUCCAUCAAUCCACAUUUAAAACAGGCCCGAUCAUGCAAUCUACAACUGCUGUGAUGUCGUUUACUGCAAUGUUUGCACUCAGGUUGAUUUGAUCUAACAUUACCAACACCAACUACUGAGGUAGCUCUCGAGCUCACAGGUGGUCUAUCUCGAUCCCGUCUAAAAUAACCCGCAGUAGCCUUUGAAUGGCUAGAAUCAUCUCGGAAUCUCUUUGAUGCUCACUAAAAUGUCUUACCUGACAAUCUUUUACGUGGAUCUCUAGUUUCAAAGUUAGCUUUUCUUUUCUCUUUCCCGAGCUCUUCGGCUUUGCAUGCUCACUCAACCAGUACUACAAACUCUUUUAUUUCAAGUAUGCCAACUAGUAGUUUAAUGUCUUUGUUCAACCCAUCUUCGAAUCUUUUACACAUUAUGGCUUCGGUCGAAACACACUCUUGGGCAUAUCGACUGAGUCUCAUGAAUUUUCGUUCAUAUUCUAUCACAGUCAUGCAACCCUACUUUAACUUGAGAAAUUCUUUGCGCUUCUGGUCAAUAAAUCUCUAGCUGAUGUAUUUCUUAUUAAACUCAAUCUGAAAGAACUCCCAGGUCACCCGUUCUUUCAGAACCACCGAUACUAGUGUAUUCCACCAGUGAUAUGUGGUGUCUCAUAGCAAAGAUAUGGCACAUUUUAGACACUCAUCCGGGGUACAAGAUAACUCAUCAAAUACGCGGAUAGUAUUAUCAAGCCAGAAUUUAGCUCGCUCGGCAUCAUCAUCAUCAGUAGCUCUAAAUUCUUCAGCCCUGUGUUUUUUGAUUUUAUCAAUGGGGGGCUUAUGUAAUCUCAACGGAUCAAUCACUUAAGGUAUAGCAGGUAUUGGAGAAGGAUUAGUCGGGGGUAGAGGUUGUUGUGCAGCCGGAUUUGUCUGGAUAUAUUGAGUAAACCAGUUAUUCAUCAUUUGGUAAAAGGCUUGUUUAGCCUCUCCCUCUUGGUUACUCGGGUCAAGAAUCAACCGGCACUGUCCCUUGCACAGGAGUAGGCGUUAUACUCUCGACAUCAUUAGCUACGGGUCUAUCGGGAUCCAUUUACUAUAUGAAAACACAUUUUUAAAUGUUAGAAGUCAUCACACUAUCAUAGUAUAUAAUAUGGCAUGUAUAGCUAGACUCACGCGCGCUACGUUAGUCCUAGAAUCAACUAAAUCGUAGCUUUGAUUCCAAUCAAAUGUAACACCCUUAACCCGUAUCCAUCACCUGAAUGGGGUUACGAGGCAUUACUGAUCAUAAUACAACUCAGACCAGACUUUCAUUUCAAUGUUAAUCAUCUAGUAAAAUUUUAAACCAAUCUAACAUGCUUCGAUUCUAUAAUUCAUACAAUUUCCAAAUUUAUAUUCAAUCAAUACAACAAAGGAAGCAUGGAAAUCAAAUGCUUAACUCAUAACCAAGUAUAUUUCAUUUCAUAUACCAAUCAUAUAUGUAUACUUAACAUUUAUGGCAUUCAAAUAAUUUAAAUAUAAAAUAACUUAUAAACUUAUAAACUAAAUGUACAUACUUUAAAACAUGCAAACAUACAUCAUUUCAUUGCAUAUAAAUAACAUGUACCAUUAUGUCUAUUUCAUCUAUCAAAUAAUAACGUACAAUUAUAACAUUUGUUUACCUAACUACAACAAUUGCAUAACAUAGAUACAUAUAUAUAAUAUUCUACUUAGCAUAUGCUGAAUAUAUCAUCAACUUAACCAAUUAAACUACUCAAAUAAACUGACCAAAACAUUCAAGUAAUAUGCCAUUUGACACCGACACAAAAACCACAUUCAUUAAUCAAAUUUUCAUAGUCUAACUUAAUCCACUAAUAUUCAAUACUACAAUUAUAAUAUUAACAUAAAUAUACACACAUAAUGACAUGAUUUAAGCACACUUGCCAAACCUCAAAUAUGGCACAUUUUCAACUCAAUAUAAAACCUACCAUUUUAGUCUUUUAUUACCGUACCUCAAACCAAGCAUAUUAAUCAAAACAGUCAUAUAACGUACUCAUUAUUUGUCUUUAUGAAUCGUGCUUAAUUAGCCAACCACUCAAGCACAAUAUAUAUGCACAUACAUUGCCAUUACAAACUGAAUCAAAAUAACUAAUACACAUUCAAAUAUAUAUAUAAAUCAUUAUCAUUUUUCUCCUUUACUAAACCAAAUCAAUAAACCAUUCAUAAAGACAAAACAUACCAUAUAAUAUGCAUAUCAAAAUAAACUCCAACCAUGUUUGGAUAUAACCAAAUAUUCUUUAAUACCAACUCACAUAAUAACACCCUAACAAAACAUAUCAACCAAGUUCAUCUAUACUUUUAUCUAUGCAUAAACCAUAAUCGAAUCAACCAAACACACAUCCAAAAUCACCAACCAUUUUCAAUGCAUAUAACACAUAUAAACUUGACUAAAGUUUCAUAUACUCACAUAACAUAUUAGCCAUUUUUGUAUGGCUUAAUAUAUACACAACUUCAAACUUAACCAAAUAUAAUCUAGCCUAAACAUGCCAUAGGUUCAAGUUCAAACUUAUAAAAUACCAAAAAUAGUCGAUAGUAUGAUAGACUUUGCUGACGAUCCUCGAGCUCGUAACUUGAAUCCAAAAUCUAUAAAUCAGAGUCAAACAUACACCCACAGUAAGCUAUCAUAGCUUAGUAAGUCAUAAGCAAAUAAAUAACUCAGUAACAUUUAUAAUUCAUUAUAACAAAAUCGAAUCAUUGUAUCAUAUUCAUAUACAUUUUCAAACUUACAAAAAUGCAUUUAUCAAUCAUAUAACUAUACUUCAAAUCUAAAUGGAUCAAAUACACAUGUAGUUAAUAUCAUAACUUCUAAAAUCACAUAUAUACCCUUGUCCGAAUAUACUCAUUCAUAGAUGAAUACAAAUAAAUCACAUUUACAAGGUCAAAUAUAUUAAGCAUUUGACCAAUUAUAAUUUUCAUAUACACAUAUACUUUCAUUUGCAUCAUGAAUACACCAUUAAACCGAAUGUAUACUUUCACAUAUGCAUACAUGUAGUUCACAUUAACAAGUACCAUUUAUAUCAUCAAUUCAUAACUUACCAUAAUUUCAUAACUUAGUAUGAAUACGUAUCUGAACCUUUUAACUCAAUUUUUCAUUCGGUCUUAACUAAUUAUGCCGUUGAACCAUUUGGAAUUGAAUAGGAUACUCGGAUAAUCACGCAUAUCGUACAAUGCCAACGUCCCAGACGUGGUCUUACAUGCAAUCACAUAUUGAUGCCGCUAUCCCAGAUAGGGUCUUACACGAAUCAAAUACGAUGCCAAUGUCCCCAACAUGGUCUUACACAUAAUCACAUAUUGAUGCCAAUGUCCCAGACGUGGUCUUACACGAAAACACAUAUCGAAAAUCUUAUGUCAUGACAUAUGUAUCCUAGCUAUUCCUAAGGUUCGUACGGGGCUUUCGGACGUCGUAACUCGAUCGAAUCGAACUCGUACACAUAGCUUUUAAGAUUAUACUUAUUCAGCUUCCACAUAUAUAAUAUCACAUUAUUCAUUUCAACAUAUAUAGUUCAUAUUUAAUGAAAUAACAUAACAUCUAUUUGCCUAUAAACUUACCUCGGACAACAAUAAUCAGAAUGGGACGACUAAUCGACAACUUUGGUUUUCCCCCGAUCCAAAUCCGAUUUCUUUGGUUCUUGAUCUAAACAUAUUAAAAUUAAACUCAUUCAAACAUAAUUUCACUCAAUUUUGUCCAAAAACACAUAAAUAGGAAAAUUACUAUUUUACCUUUCAUAUUUUACACUUCUUACAAUUUAGUCCAAAUUGCACAAAACACAAAACAUGCAAAAUUUGAAUACACUAUGCUUAGGCUGAAUCUUCCUUAUGCUCAUACAAGUCCAUACAUUUCAUUUAUUUCACAUUUUAUGUAACCCCCUAUCCCGUAUCUGUCGUCGAACUAGGGUUAAAGGUAAUUCCGGACUAAUCGGAACAUUUAACUUCCAUUUCAUAAACAUCAAAGCAUCAGAUAUCAAUAUCAAUAUAGAGUCCCUUAUAAAGGUCUUCAAAACCUAAAACAUGCGACAGAAAAGAGUCUAGACUAAAUUGAAUACAUACAAAAUUUUCUCAAAUCUUAAAACUUUUUCAAAGAAGUACAGGUCACACGCCCGUGUGUACAGGCCGUGUGCCUUACACGGCAUCAGACACGCCUGUUUGUCUAGGCCGUGUCAAAAUAGGGCAUACAUAUUGACUUACUUACACGGCUACAAGAAAUGCUCACACGGCUACAAGACACGCUCGUGUGCCGUGGCCGUGGUCGAAACUAACUUGGGCCACACGGCUAGCCAUAUGCCCGUGUGCCUUGGCCUUGCCCAGCCUGACUUACAAAUUGUAAGUCCCCAGAGGACACACAACCAUGCCACAUAGCAGUGUGUCAUACACGGCUAAGACACACGCCCGUGUCUCUAGCCAUGUAAACAAAAUAGGCCAUUUGAAUAGCCAAUUUGCCACUCCAAUUUGGGUCAACCUACAAACACCAAACCAAACAUAUAUGCACAACCAUUUUAGCCAAUAUCUAUACCAAACCAUACAUAAUUCAUGGUAUACAUUAUCAGUCAUUUCAAUUCUCAAUUCAUAACAAAACUUAAACUAAAAUCAUACCUAAACAUAUGAUCAAUACAUUAUUCAAUCUCAUAUUUAAAACUUACCAAAAUUCUCAUCAUUUACCAUUUCUUGUAUCCAUACAUAGACAUACCAAAUAUAUCAUAUUGCCUCACAUUUCAUAUACCAAAAACCAUAUCAUAAUCAUAUCCAUACCAAGCCACAUCACACGACUAUAUAUAUACAUCUCAAAACAUAAUUUAAACACUUCUAACCUAUACAUGCCAUACCUCAAUAUAUACAUGUUCAAAAGUACCAAAAUAAGGUUCGAUAGUGUGGAGACAAUCCUCGACAAUCCUCGACAAUCCCCAAGCUCACAGUAGCUUCGAUAUCUAUAAAACAAUGCAAACACAUACAAAGUAAGCUUUUAAAAGCUUAGUAAGCUAUAUACAAAUAAAAUAUCAUUCAAAGCAAAUAUGUAUCAUCAAAUCAUUUAUACUUUGUAUACAAAUGCUUACACAAAUCUCAUAUUCAAAUACUUACAUUUCUUUCUCAAAUAGGCUAAACAAAGUAAAUAUACCUGAAUCUGAUAUGAUUUCACAAAGUUAUUCAUUUUCUCGGAAUGCCCGUUUGAACCAUUCGGAAACGUAAGGAUACGAGGAUAGCUCAGAGAACAUAUAUAAUGCCAACAUCCCAGAUGUGGUCUUACAUGUAAUCAAACAUCGAUGCCUCUUUCUCAGACAAGGUCUUAUACGAAAUCAGAUACGAGCUGAUGUCCCAGACAUGGUCUUACAUGUAAACAAAAGUCGAUACCAACGUCCCAGACGUGGUCUUACACAAAAUUCCAUAACGAAAUCCUAUGUCAUGACAUAUGUAUCCUAACUAUUCCUGAGGUUUUUAUAGGGCUCUUCAGAAGUCAGAACUUUGUCGAUACUUUCUCAGAUAGCAUAUAUUUAGCUCGGACAUUCAUUCAUCACAAUUCAAUAUCACAUGAAUAAUAAUAAUUCAAUUUAAACAAGCUUAUUUGUAUAUCGACUUACCUCGUACGAAUUCAGAUAAACUGAAUCGGUUACUCGACGACUUUUGACUUUCCCUGAUCUAAUUCCAUAUUCUUUAGUUCUCGAUCUAAAUCAAUUCAAAUUUAACUUAUUCAAUAACACAAUCAUUCAAAACAAUCGAUAUACACACAAUUAAUGCAUUUUUGUAAACUAGCCCUCAUAUUUUCACAUUUUGACACUUUAGUCCCUAAUUCACAAAAUCACAAAAUACACAUAAUUUGCUUAUACACAAGCUUAGCCGAAUUCUCAUAGCACUCAUACAAGUCCAUACAUUUCAUUUAUUUCACAUUUUAGUCCCUUAAAAUAAUAUUUUUACAAUUUAGCCCAGAUUACUCAAUUUCAUCAAAAAUCCAAAGAUAAAACAUGUAAACCCAACAUCAAACUUUCAUUUAUCAACAUCUAACUUCACAAAACUCAUAAUUUCAUCAAUGGCACAUUUCAAAAUCAUGAUCAAAAUUAGAAAUUGAGGCAUGGGUUUGAUAGUAUACGAAGCAACGAUUACAAAAACGUAGAAAUUAUCAAAAAUCGAAACAAAAACGUACCUAAAUCAAAGCUUAAUAUUGUCAAUCCCUAGCAAGCCUUUUUCUUUUCUUUCGUUUGUGUUUUUAGGUCAUGGAUGAACAAAAUGACCAUAAUUUCAUAACUUUAUUUUAGUUAUAAUUCAUUUAAUAAUUGUUUUACCAUUUUGCCCUUUCAUUAAAACAUAAAUAAACCAAUAUAAUAUGGCCAUAUAUGUCCACUCAUGCUUUUAAUGGUCAAAUAACAUAAUAAUGACCUCUCAUUUAUAAAGCCAAAUCAAAUAAGCACUUUUAACAAGUAGCAGGCAACUGUUACAUUUUACGCAAUUAGGUCCUUUUAUCAAAUUAAGCACACAAACAAUCGAAUUUUCAGAUGAAACUUUCACAUAUGCUAAUUCACACAUCAUAAGCAUGAAAAAUAAUAUUUAACUAUUUUUUUACUCGGAUAUGUGAUCCCAAAACCACUGUUUUGAAUAGGGUCAACAUUAGACUAUUACAAUUCUCCCCUUUAGGGAUUUUCAUCCCCGAAAAUCUUACCGUUAAACAGAUUCAGAUAUUGUCGUCUCAUAGCAUCUUCAGGCUCUUAGUGGCCUCUUCAAUACAGUGUCGAUGCCAUAUCACUUUUACUAACGGAAUCUUCUUAUUUCGCAGUUCUUUAACCUCGCAGGCUAAGAUAUGGAUCGACUUUUCUUUGUAAGUCAUAUCAGACUGAAUUUCAAUCUCAGAUGAAGGAAUCACAUGCGAAGGAUCAAAUCUGUAUUGUCGAAGCAUCGAUAUGUGAAACACAUCAUGAAUCUUUUCUAACUCUGGUGGCAAAAAUAAUCUAUAUGCUACUAGCUCAAUACGCUCGAUAAGCUCAUACGGCCCAAUGAGUCUUGGACUCAAUUUGCCUUUUCUACUGAAGGGAAGAACAUUCUUCCAUGGGGAUACUUUCAAAAACACUUUGUCACCUAUUUCAAAUUCAAUAUCUUUUCUUCUCAAAUCCACAUAAGAUUUCUGAUGAUCAGCAUGAUGAACCAAGAAGUCUCCAGGACCUAUUGUUAAGAAUAGUGAAUUACUAUUUUCAUUAACAGCAUUUAACUAGCCAGGCAACCAUAUGCUUCGACCCGCAUUGAAUGCUGGGCCAUUCGUUGAAGAUAAAAGCACAUCGAACCCGUAUGAAGUUUUACCAUGAGCAGAUUGGAUCCAUUGGGAAAAUAUGGGUUUGAUCAAGAUUUGUUUCUCCGGAGUCCCAAAAGCAAGCAUGACAUCAUUAUGGACAUAAAGUCCCAAAGUAUGGAAUCCCAGAAAGAGGCUGGCCCAACUUAAAUGGGAUAUGAUAGCUUCUUUAUGGUCUAACAUUCUUGCCAAUACAUUAUCCUCAUUCUGUUCCAGAUUGCAAUCUCUAAUAAAAAAUAUAGCUCCGUGGGCAAAAGCUCCUGUCAUGAUGAAUCCUACGAUGUAUUGGUGAUAGGUAUAUAACGCAGCUUGAGUAGUAAAGUCUUGUGCUAUGAAUGCAUAAGCAGGUAAAGAGUACAUGUGUUGAGCUACCAAGGACGUAAUAACCCCUAAAGAAGCUAGAGCAAGGCCUAAUUGAAAAUGAAUCGAAUUAUUGAUUGUAUCAUAAAGACCCUUAUGCCUCCUCCCCAAUCGUCCUCCUGGAGGAAUAUGUGCUUCUAAAAGAUCUUUUAUACUGUGACCAAUUCCGAAGUUAGUUCUAUACAUGUGGCCCGCUAUUAGGAAAAGAAUUGCAAUAGCUAAAUGAUGGUGUGCAAUAUCAGUCAACCAUAAACUUUGCAUUUGUGGAUGGAAUCCCCCGAAAAGGGUUAGAAUGGCAGUUCCUGAUCCUUGGAAGGUACCAAAUAAAUGACUACUUAAAUCGGGGUUUUGAGCAUAAAGAUUCCACUGACCUGAAAAAAAUGGGCCUAACCCUUAGGGAUGGGGUAAUACAUCUAAGAAAUUAUUCCAUCGAACAUAUUCCCCCCCCGGAUCCAGGAAUAGUGACAUGGACUAAGUGCCUUGUCCAAGCCAAGGAACUUACUCCAAAUAGUCCUGACAAAUGAUGAUUGAGAUGAGAUUCGACAUUUUUAAACCACGAAAUGUUUGGUUUCCAUUUUGGUUGUAGGUGUAACCAACCCGCUAUUAAGGAUAGAGCAGAAAGAAGUAAUAGAAAAAGGGCUCCAGUAUAAAGAUCUUCAUUAGUACGUAACCCGAUUGUAUACCACUACUGAUAAACCAGAGUAAGCGAUAUUCAUUGGACCAGGAGUGCCCCCUCUAGUAAAAGCUUCCACCCCCGGUUGACCAAAAUGAGGAUCCCAAAUUGCAUGAGCAAUCGGCCUUAAAUGUAAAGGAUCCUGUACCCAUGCCUCAAAAUUUCCCUGCCAAGCUACAUGAAACAGAUUUCUGGACUUUCACUUUCUAUUCAGUUUCUUUUAUCAAAUCAACCCCGUGAAUCUUAUUUUCAUUGAGUUCCGUCCAAUACAAAGGUGUACGACAUUUGCGACCAUAUAAAGCUUUGUACGGUGUCAUUUUAAUGCUCGACUGAAAACUAUUAUUAUAAGUGAAUUCAAUCAAGGGCAAAUAUUGUUCCCACGUACCUUCAAACUCAAGAAUGUAACAUCUCAACAUAUCCUCAAGUAUCUGAAUAAUCCGCUCAGAUUGACCAUCCGUUUGCGGGUGAAAAAUAGUACUGAAGUGCAAUUUAGUACCCAAAGCAUCUUGUAAUUUCUUCCAGAAUCGUGAUGUGAAUCUCGAAUCUCUGUCUGACACUAUAGACAAAGGCACACAAUGCAAUCUCACGAUAUUAGAAAUGUAUAACUCAACUAAUGUAUCAAGCGAGUAAUCGAAUCGAACCAGAAGAAAUGAGCUAAUUUCGUCAAUCGAUCAACUACAACCCAGAUAGCAUCUUUCUUUCUCAGAGAUAGGGUAAACCCAAAACAAAAUCCAUUAUCACUUUAUCCCAUUUCCAUUUCGAAACCAUAAUCGGUUGUAACAAACCAGACGACACCUAAUGUUCAGCUUUAACUUGCUGACAAAUCAAACAUUUUGAAACAAAGUCAAAAAUAUCUCUUUUCAUUUCGGACCACCAGUAAUACUGUUUCAGAUCAUUCUACAUUUUCGUACUACCCAGAUGCACAGAUAACCGACUGUUAUGAGCUUCACUCAAAAUCAUCUGAAUUAUCUCUAGAUUUCUCGGGACACAAAUUCUAUCUCGAAAUCUCAAACAAUCAUCUUUAUCAAGUCUGAAUUCUAAAUCAGACUCUACAUCACACUGAGUUCAUUUAGCUAAAAUUUCAUUAUCAAUCUUCUAAGCUUCGAUAAUCUGCUAUAAGAACAAAGGUCUUGCUUUCAAUUAAGCUAAAACUGAACCAUCAUCGGAUAGAACCAAAUGAGCAUUCAUCGUACUCAGAGCAUGUAACACCCCCUACCCGUAUCCAUUACCGGAAUAGGGUACGAGGCAUUACCAGAGUUUACUGAACAUUUUCAGAUAAUUCUAAGUCAUUUAUUAUUCAUAUUUUAGAAAUAAACAUAACGUCUCUCUAUUGGGCCCUCGAAGCCCUAAACACACAUUAGAAACCAACCGGAAUUAAAUCGGGAUUAUAAAAAAAUUUGAAAAAUCUUAAAUUUUAUUUUCAUCUAAGUACUUACUAUUUCAAUGCUCCUUAUAAUUAAACAUGUUACCAUUCAAUCAAUAGUUUGGCACUUGUCUAAGCAUCAAACAACAUCAUUGUUAGUAUACUUGCACACAUUUCAUCUACAUUCAACAUUGAUAUACUUAUUUUCUCUACAUAUCGCACUUGAGUUUAAUAAUAGUCUCAACUUACAUAAUUUUCUUGUAUCAACAUAUCAAAGAUAAUCAUAUAUGUACAUGUCAUGAAACAUAUCAUGCUCUUACCGUUUCUUUAUAAGCAUAUAUCAUUCAUUUCAUUAUAUCAAUAUUUCAUGCUCUAUCAUUUCCAUAUAUUUUAUGUAUAUUUAUUCUGGUAAUAGUUUAUAUCAAACUUGACAUAAAUUAUAUUCCAUGUACUUAUACUUAUUUCAUUUAUUUAUCUUUAUAAUUAUUUCAUACAACUAUUUUGUACAUAUAUUUCCAUAUGACCAGUUCUUGUAAACAUUUCACACAACCAUUUCAUAUAACCAUUCGUCAUCUGAUAAGUAUUACCUGAAUAUCAAUUCUUCAAUAGAUGUCAUAGCGUCUCCCAUCCACGGUCUUAUUUAUCUUUGACAUAAUGCCAUAGUGUCUUUCAACUAUGGUCUUACUCAUUCAUUUUCUUUCAUGUUGCCAUGGUAUCUUUCAACCAUGGUCUUAUUCUUUUCAUGUCACGUUGCCAUAGUAUCUUUCAACCAUGGUCUUAUUCAUUUCAUAUCACGUUGCCAUGGUAUUUUUCAACCAUGGUCUUACACAUUUCAUAUCAGGUUGCCAUGGUAUCUUUCAACCAUGGUCUUACACAUUUCAUAUCAGGUUGCCAUGGUAUCUUUCAACCAUGGUCUUACACAUUUCAUAUCAGAGAGCACACUCCCGCAAAUCUCAUCCUUACAGUGGGAUUACCAGUCCAGGCUAAAUCCCCUGCAAUGACAAUUACUCUAAUGAGCUUGGAUUAGAAUUACUAGUCCAGGCUAAAUUCAGACCCUAAUUCAGAUUACCCGUCGGGGCUAAAUCCAUUUUACACGUAUUCUUCGGGAGGGCUGUAUUAGAAUAGGAUCACCCGUUCGGGCUAGAUCCUUUUUACCGUCAAUUCCUUUUCAGAGAUCCAUCGAAUUUUCCUUUCAUUCAACCGGGGUUUAUUUUCAAUUUAUAUCGAGUAUUAGCAAUAUUUCAUCAAUUAUCAUGAAUUGAACAUUCAAAUCAUAUUUUCAUCACAUAACCACAUAUUUCAAGUAUUUAAAAUACAAUUCAAGUUACACAAACUUACCUCAUUGCUUAUUUGUGUUUAUAAUUUUAUUAAUCUGAUAUCUUUUAUUUUUCACGAUCAAGUCUCAUUUUUGAGUCGUCUGGAUCUUUAUAAAUAAAUUUGAUCAUCAUUUUCAUUCAUUUCAUAUUCUAAUGCAUUUAAUUAAUGCUCUAGGAAAAAUUACCAUUUUGCCCUUAAACUUUUAAUUAAUGACGAUUUCAUCCUUAGGGUCAGAAAAAUAAAAUUCUUGCAAUUUAAUCCUUAUUUCUAGAUAUUAUUCUCAUACAUAUUGAUAACAAUCCAUGAAUUCCAUAAAAAAUAUCAGAAUUUUCCAUAAUUUCAACACUUUUCAAUUUAAUCCCUAAAACAUGUUUUCCCUCGAUCUUGAACUAAAUUAAUAAUUUCAUUCAAUUUUGUAAUUUAAAUAAUAAAAUAAUCCAUUUCAUGCAAUUUGGUCAUUUUGACAUUUUUACAAAAUUACCCAUAAAGUUUUACUUUUAUUCAAUUUAGUCCCUGAGCCUAAAACAUGCAAAUUAGCCAUGCUAGAUGAAUAUUCAUACAUAUUUUUCCUCCUCCUCCUCUCCAUUCCACAUCCUUAGUGUAUAUAACACACUUGUAAGUAACAUUAUCUAUAAUUUUUAUUAUUUACUUUUAUGAAUAUUCAAGCUGUCCAUCUGUGUCAUAGUGACUAAAUUAUUUAUAACUCGAGCUAAGGAAAUCCAAAUUAAGAUCCGUUAAUUUUCCCUGAAACUAGACUCAUAUAUAUUAUUACCAUAAAAUUUUAAGAAUUUUUAGUUUAUCCAUUAGGUACAGUUUAUUCUUUAAAUUCACCCCUAUUCUGCUGUCUGACAGUUUCGACCCUUCUUCACUAAAAAUUAAUUAUCUCACAAUACAGAGCUCGGAUAAUAUUCCCGUUGAUUUCUACUUAAAAUAUACUCAUUAUGAAUUCUAAAAAUAUAAAUUUAAGCCUAUAAUUAUUUUUAUUCAAUUUUUGGUGAUUUUUCAAAGUCAGAACAGGGGAACCGGAAUUCAUUCUGACAUUGUCUCACAAAACUCAUUAUAUCUUAUAAUUUACAAUUCAAUUGCUUAAAACGUUUCUUCUAUAUGAAAUUAGACUCAAUAAGAUUUAAUUCCAUGUUUUAUUAAUCCUAUAAUUAAAUUUAUACAAUUUUUGGUGAUUUUUUAAACUUAAACUACUGCUGCUGUCCCAAACAGUCUUAAUGCAAAAUGUUGAUUUUCUACUUUAAUUUCAAUUUAAUCCUAACUAAAUUCACUUACUUUUCUAUCUUAAUUCAUACUUUAUUUCUACUCAAUUUUUAACUAAAUUUAGACAUAAUUAUCUAUUUUUCAUCAUAAAACCAUAAUUUUGAAAUUCUUUCAAUUUAGUCCUUAAAGCAUAAAACUUAUGAAUCACUUUACAAUUCAAUCCUUAUUUCAUUUCUAACUUGAAUUUCUAUCAAUUUAGCCCUUAAUUCAUCUUUUUGUUCAACUUAAUCAACACAUAAAAAUUCAUUAACUCCCUAACUUUUGAUAUAAUUCAUGUAGUACUCUUCUCUAGAAUUUCAUAAACAUCAAAUUGAUUUACCUAGUAAAACUUAAGGCUUCAAAAACCCCAAUUUUCCUUUUAUUUUUCUUUCCUUCCUUUCUUUCCCCUGUUUCGUCUCAUUGUUUGCUUCCUUUCUUCUUUCCCUUUCUUUUUGUUUUACUUUAUAUAUAUAAUAAUAAUAAUAAUGACUUUAUUAAAUAUCUACUUAAUAUCAAAUAUUUAUUUUACACUUGGGCACACAUAUAUUAUUACAUUUGUAUUUCAUCCCCACCAUACACUUGUUAUUUUAUAUUUAUUUAUCAUAUAAAUAUAUUAUAAUAUAAUUAUUUAUUUCAUAAAUAUCUUUCACUAAAUAAUAAAUAUCCAUUUAAUAUCAAAUACAUAUAUUAUAAAUGUAUGUAUUUUUUUAUUAAUACAUUUGUACCAAAUCAUUACCAUACACUUGUCUUUAUUUAAUCUAUUCAUCAUAUAAUAUCAAUUUAAUAAUAAUAAAUACAUUAAUUAUUUACUUAAAUAAUAAGUAAAUACAUACAUGUAUUACAAAUGUAUGUAUAAUACUUAUUACACAUGUAUUUUAUUUUUGCCGUACACUUGGCACUCCUUUGGCUUAUUUACUUAUUUAGUCCUUUCAAUUUCUUUAUCCUAUAAUUAAACUUUCACACUUCAUUCAAUUUAAUCUUUUUAUCUAAUUAUCCUUUAUUUAAGCUAAUUUGCUUCAUUAAACUUUAAUUAAUCACUCUCUUAACUUCGUAAAUAUUUUUAAUAAAUAUUUACAAAUCUAUUUUUCAGAAACGAAGACCCAAAAAUGCACUUUUUUGAUAACUGUAAAAAUUCGGGUCAUUACAGAGCAAAUAAAGAUUUUCGACUUAACGCAUCUACAACAACAUUUGCCUUACCCGGAUGAUAAUUAAUCACAAGUUCGUAGUCUUUUAGCAGUUCUAACCACCUUCUCUGUUGCAGAUUCAAAUCUUUCUGAGUCAUCAAAUAUUUCAAACUCUUAUGAUCAAAAUACACUUGACAUUUCUCACCAAACAGAUAGUGGCGCCAAAUCUUUAAAGCAAAUACAAUCACAGCUAACUCAAGAUCGUGUGUCGAAUAGUUCUUUUCAUGUGGCUUCAAUUUUCUCGAAGCAUAAGCAAUGACUUACCUUCUUGCAUCAAAACACAUCCCAAACCAAUCAACGAAGCGUCACUAUAGAUCGGGUUGUACCAAUACCGGAGCUUCAGUCAACAAAGUUUUCAACUGAUCAAAGCUGCUUUGACACUUUUCAGACCAUUCAAACUUCACAUUUUUCUGAAGUAACUUCGUUAACGGGGUCGCAAUCAUAGAAAAGCCUUUCAUGAACCUUCUAUAAUAACCGACAAGUCCCAGAAAACUACAGACUUCAGAGACAUUCCUCGGAGGUUUCCAAUCCAGAGUAGUUGAAAUCUUGCUCGGAUCAACUUAGAUACCAGAUGCUGAUAUAGUAUGACCCAAAAAACCAACUUCUCAUAACCAGAAUUCACAUUUACUGAACUUUGCAUAUAACUGUUUAUCUCGUAAAAUCUGUGCACUAAUCUCAAUUCCUCGGUAUGUUCAGAUUCAUCACGUGAAUAAAUCAAUAUGUCAUCAAUGAAUACAACAACAAAUUGAUUUAGAUACGGUCUAAAAAUUCUAUUCAUCAAAUCCAUAAAAAUAGAAGGUGCGUUAGUCAAUUCGAAAGGCAUAACUAAAAAUUCAUAGUGACCGUACCUCGUUUUGAAAGCAGUUUUCGUAAUGUCUGAGUCUUUCAAUUGCAACUGAUAAUAGCCUGAUCUCAAAUCUAUUUUCAAAAACACAGCAGCUCCUUUCAACUGAUCAAACAAAUCAUCAAUAUGGGGCAGAGGAUACUUAUUCUUGAUAGUCACUUUGUUCAACUGACGAUAAUCUAUACACAUUCUUAUCGUUCCGUCUUUCUUUUUCACGAAUAGAACCGGAGCACCCCAAGGUGAGAAACUUAGUCUAGCAAAUCCUCUAUCAGUCAAUUCUUGAAACUAAGACUUUAAUUCUUUUAGUUCGAUCAGAGCCAUUCUAUACGAAGCUAUCAAAAUCAGAGUAGUAACAGGUACCAGUUCAAUGCCAAAUUCUACUUCUCUAACUGGAGGUAAUCCCGGAAGUUCGUCAGGAAACACAUCAAGAAGCUCGCAUACAACCAGCACUGAUUCAACUUUCUUUUCUGACACUUUCGAAUCAAUCACAUAUGCAAAAUAAGCUUCACAACCCUUUCUCACCAUACUCAAAGCUUUCGUCGAAGAUAUCACAGCAGGCAAUCCAUUCAAAUCACUAGAUUCAAUUCUGAUUAUUUCAUUAUUUUUGCAUCUCAAAUCAAUAGUUUUUCAUUGGCAGUUCACAACAGCAUCAUGCAAAGUUAACCAAUCUAUACCCAGGAUUAUAUCAAAUUCAUCAAAGGGCAACAGCAUUAGAUCAGCCGGAAAACAAUUGUCUCGAAACAUUAACGGAUAAUUCUUGCAGACUUUAUCAACAAAAACACAUCUACCUAGGGGUUCGAAACUCUAAUUACAAAUUCAGUACACUCUACAGGCAAAGUCUUACUGUUCACUAAGUUCAUGCAUAUAUAUGAAUGUGUCGAUCUAGGAUCUUUCAAAGCAAUCACAGAAGUAUCAUAAAGAGCAAAUGUACCCGUAAUCACAUCUAGUUACGAAGCUUCCUCACGAGCUCUGAUGGCAUAGGCUCUGGCAGGUGCACGAGCCUCGGAUCUAACAGUUGUGUCUUUUGUCCCUCUCUGACUGCCAGUUACAUUUCCAAUAUUUCUAGGAGGUCUACCACGAGAAGCAUUGGCACUAGGACUCAAAUUUUGCACACUUUCUUGCUCGACAGAUUUUGGGCAAUCACGGAUAAAAUGGUUUAACGAUCCACAUCUGAAACAGGCCCGAUCAUACAGUCUACAAUUACCGGGAUGACUUUUACCAUAAUGCUUGCACUCAGGGCGAUCAAAUUUAGCAUUUCCGACACUGGCAACGGAUGUAGCUGGAGCUUUGAAGUUUGACUGCGAUCUAGCACGAUCUCUAUUCGAAUGCCCCACAUUAGCCUUUGAACAGCUAUUAUCAUCUCUAAAUUUCUUUAAUACAGACUGAAAUGAUUUGCCAGAUGAUCUCUUUCACACUUCUCUAGCUUCAUAAUGGACUUUUCUUUUCUCUUUCUCGAGAUCUUCAGCUUUACAUGCUUGUUUAACAAGCACAACAAAUUUUUUAAUCUCUAGAAUCCCUACUAACAAACGGAUAUCCUCGUUUAAGCCAUCUUCAAAUCUUUUGCACAUUAUUGCUUCCAUAGAUACACAUUCUCGAGCAUACUAACUCAGCCUUACAAAUUUCCACUCGUAUUCUAUAACAAACAUUCGGCCUUGUUUAAGCUCGAGAAACUCUUUACGUUUUUGGUCAAUGAAUCUUUGACUGAUGUAUUUCUUUCGAAAUUCAGCUUGGAAGAAAUCCCAGGUGACUCGCUCACUCAGAAAUACUGGUAUCGAAGUUUUCCACCAAUGAUACAUUGUAUCUCUAGAAGUGAAACGACACAUUUAAUACAUUCUUCCCGAUUCAAAGACAAUUCAUCAAACACUCUUAUCAUGUUCUCUAACUAGAACUCGACCUUUUCAGCAUCAUUGUUUGUUGUAGCUCCAAACUCUUCGGCCCCAUACUUUCUAAUCUUAUCUAUCGGAGGCUUAUUUAACUAAAUCGGAUUCACUGAUGGUAUAGCAGUAGCUUGCGGAGAAUUGAUCGGGGGUGGAGAUUGUUGAACAGCCAGAUUGGUUCUAAUAUAUUGGCUAAACCAAUCGUUCAUCAUUUGAUAGAAGGCUACUCGUAGCUGGUCUAGAAUCGGAUGGCGCCGUCUCUUGUGCUGGAGUAGGCGCAUUGCUUUCGACAUCGUCCACUAUAGCUCGAUCGGGAUCCAUUUGCUAAUAAAAACACAUUUCAAUGUCAGGGUUCAUCACACUAUCACAGUUCUUAAAUAUGACAUGUAUAGCUAGAAUCACAUACGCUAUGGUAGUCCUAGAAUCAACUAAACCAAAGCUCUGAUACCAAUAAAAUAUAACACCCUAACCCGUAUCCAUCGCCAGGCUAGGGUUAAAGCCAUUACCAGACGAAUCAAAACAUUUAACUUUCAUUUCAUAAACAUCAAAGCAUCAGAGAUCAACAUCAAUAUAGAGUCCCUUGUAA